GACGAACCGUGCGAACGUUAUUCGGAAUCACUGGGCUUAAAGGGCGCGUAGGCGGAUUUGCAAGUCUGCGGUGAAAUCCUCCAGCUUAACUGGAGAAGUGCCGUGGAUACUGCGAGUCUCGAGGAAGGUAGGGGCAUCUGGAACUGCCGGUGGAGCGGUGAAAUGCGCAGAUAUCGGGAAGAACACCGGUGGCGAAGGCGGCUCUCUGGACCUGUCCUGACGCUCAGGCGCGAAAGCGUGGGGAGCAAACAGG
rnacentral:rRNA from 1 species